rnacentral:lncRNA from 1 species
AUGCUUUGUGUGGGAGAGAAGCCGUCCAGUAGUAAACUCUGCCUUGGAAACUUCAUGAAGCAGAGAAGGAUCUGAAGGAUAAGGUAGGUUUCUUUUGGCAAUGGCCGCGACUAUCACCUGUAACAUAGGGGUCAAAGGGCUACCAGAAGGUGUCCGGUAACGAUAAAAUGGUUUUCCAAUGAGGAAGAUGAGAAGUGAAAUAGCCAUGAUUGUAGUGAAUAUGAUGCCGGCAACACCCCAACCAACCCGGUCUUCGAUAUAGACAAGGACAGUCACAGACGUUAGGAUACCAGCACAUAGACAAACGUUCCACCAGUUAAAAUAAGACAUCCUCAUCUUUCUUUCUUCAACAUGAUCAUCAUCGAACUGGUCAGCACCAAAGCUCUCAAGGCAUGGCUUAUGACCUCCAGUCCCUAUGGAGAUCAAGUAUAUGGCAAUGAAGAAGGCUAUUUCGUGUGCUUUCCUAGGCUCAACGCACACUUCUUUAUGACAAGGUUUCAAGCCCGGUAUGAACCAGGACAUUGUUAAAAGGACCAAACCCUGUUGAUGAGACAAGAGGAAAUAAUUAAAUAUUGUUUUUGGAAUCUUUUGAGCUAAAAUUGGAUCAAAGUAACGUUAUAUUACCAUAAGGUAAAUAGUGGUUGCAACCAAGACAGUGGUGUAACGGCCAAGAUAAGCAUCUGCUACAAAGCCUCCAAAAAGAGGCAUCAAAGUAGUGACACCUGACCAGUAGUUCACAUUUUUUACAGCCGUCUUGAGAUCUUGGUGGAUAAUUGUUGUUAAGUAGACCACUAAGUUUGUAGCUAAACCAAAGUAACUCAAUCUCUCGCUGAACUCGAUUGCUGCGCAGUGAAUAUGGACCAAAAGACUUUAACAAAGAUUUACAAUUUUGAGCUAUUACUAUAGCAUACUUUCAGUAUUACAAUUAUGUGGUGUAUAUAUAAAGUUUAUGUAUAAAAAACUAAGUGAAAGUUUUGUUACCGAUGAUGAAGAGGGCAGCUUUCCAAGCACCAGUUCGAGCCCGAAGAGGAACAUGUCCUCUGCUGUCGAGAGAAGAAUCAAGAACCCAAUUGUGUUGAUCAUUGUACGAAUCUUGAAGUUCUGACCCAAUAUUAUUAUGCUUCAUCUGUUCAAAGUUAACAACACAAUAAAGAGUUGAUUCUUGAGGAGUGUGUGUGUGUGUGUGUGAGUGUGUGUGAGAGAGAGAGAGAACUGUGAAGUGAUUUGUUUAAGUAGAAGCAAACUUGGUCCUCUAUAUAUAAGCUUAAGCUCCCUGUUUGACUAACUAUCAUCGACAGUGUUUUAUAGAUUCUCUGCCCACAUUGUCUUAUUUUCAGCCACAAAUAGUUUUCCAUUUUCUAUUUUGUUUUGCAUGAACGUGGAGGAAGAUACGUAAAGGCGAGGUCGUAUUCAUACAGAUGAACUUGCAAUAACUCACAAGUGUACGAGAGAAUAAUAAGAGAAAUGUAAAACAUAAGAAAGCUCUCAAAUGGAUUGCUUGUUCAACAACUUCGUCUAUUAAAACUUAUCUUAACUUCGUAUUUUCAUCAAAUCUAAACAUAAAGUGAAACUCCCAAGCUUAAAAUAUAAUCAUAAACUUGUUCUUGGACAAAUUAAAACUAAUUCUCCUUUUUAAUAUUUCUUAUUUUAGAACUCCGAAGAUAUUCUUACUCUUUUCACAAUCAUAUCUCCAAAAGCCAAUAUAUACUACCAUCUUCUUUAAACACUAGACUCUAAACCCACUAUGAUCGUAGAUGCUUUUUUGAUCAAAGAUCAUAGAUGCUUUACUUCGAUAAAAACAAGCAAAGACGAAUACUUAGUCCAAUAAGUUGAAUGCUUCCUUUAUUCACUUGUAUGGAAUUAAUAGAUCUCAUUCUCUUAGGAAGCUUUUCAUUUACCGUAACAUCAAUAAAAAUGGUGAAUUUAUGGGAAUCACCCUCCUUUUGCUAGAAGAAAAGGUACCGUCAUCUUCACUCUAACAUGAAUGAUUUCUUCCUUCCAUAUUUCAUAAAAACUAAAACUAUUGGUCUACGUAUUUAACUCUUCUUACCGACAAUCUUUACGGACGGCAGCGAUCGUAGAUGAUAGGUUUGAAGUUGGAAGAUGGACAGAGGUUCGAUCAUCUCCAGGCUCUUGCAAACAAAAACUUAGAAUCCCCGGUAUAGUUUUAUAUAUCACAGUCAAAUUUCUCCAACGCCGUACAUUCAUAUUAGCUACUGAUUCUUAAUUCCAUUUGUUAACUUUCAGAUGUUGUUGGCCAAAAACGUUUUCUGCUAGGCACUGACCUCAAAAACGCCUCAACAACGACUCGGCUUAUGGUAUGUUUUAAUCUCAUUGACCCAAGCCCGCUUUCACAUAGUUCUCAUGUUUUUAUCCAUUUGCUCAUGCUUUAAGAAAACUUAUAUAAUCUCAUACACCAGUACGGUGGUCGUGUACUUGCUUUGUGUGACUGACGAUGAUGCGGCCCCUUUAGGGGUCUUAUGAACUCAGAUGAUAUAACCCAGUUUGUCAUGGUGGUCACCACGGUCAGUCCAAAAAAUAUUUAGGGAUAGUCAUCUAUUUUUUCUCAAGAAACAUGUUGAUGCUAAACAAUUUCUGCUGAAUAUAGUACUUUCAUGCAUAUAUUUAACAGAAUAACAUCAUCUAAUAUAACACACACGUACAACUGUGUUUCAGACUGCCAGCAGCAACAAAACUCCAGACGUGGAUUCCCAAUCUAUACUACCAGCAGCAACUGUUAGCUACACGGUUCAUGUGCCCAGGAGAGCCGAAGAAGUUGAUGAAGCAAUGUCAAGCUUUGAAAACGAAGAAAAUAGGCACGUGAGUGAUUGUUUCAAGUCCAUCAAACCGUCAUCCCCACUUAGCUUAUGUGUCAAUGAAAUAACCAUUUUCGUAUGUUUUUUCCUACUUUCAACUUUGGUUGUCUUUAAUUAUCUGCAAACUAUUUCCCACCAGGAGAAGAGUUACUUGGUUUUUAAAUAAAGGGGAACGUUGGUGGGUCUUUGCAUUUCGUGAAAAUAAGCAUGUCUUUUGCUUCAUGCAUGAGAACAUGUUCAGAUAGUUACAUGGCAUCGACGUUAAACAAUGCAACAAAGAAACCAACUAAAAUCCAAUAGCCACCAAAACAAAACAAAAACUCCAGAAAAGUGACACAAGCACACCAUCAUAUGUUCCUCGGUGGGAAUUGGGAUGCAGACAACUGAAUACAAAAAUUAUAUAUGUAUCAACUGGUCUUCGUUCACAAAGCGUCCUACACGUAAUCAACAACAAACAGCUGCCUUCCUACUAAUCCCACCAUCUCCGACCCUCUGCUUUGCCAAAUAACUGCAUGCACCAACACAAGCGUAAGAACAACAUAACUAACAACGCUAACACUAAGUAAAACUGAACAACAACAUCAUACACAAAUAACCCCGCGCUUGCGCGGGGCUCGGCCUCUAGUAUUUUUAAAUUAAGCAGCAACCAUUAACCUUUUUUCUUUCUUUUUUAGCAACCAUUAUCUUCGUUUCCAUCAAAUUAAUAUAAUUGGAUGAAGUCUACAAUAUGUGAUGAUCAAUGUGAAAACCUCGAAGAAGAAGAAGAAGAGAUACAUUACUGGAGCAUUCUUUAACAAAGUUAUUUAUUUAGGCAACGGACACGGACGAGUCAACAACGACUUGGUUUGGCUGCACGCUUUUGUAAGGACAUCUCUUUGCCACAACAACAAAGACACAUAUAUUAGCAGCGGUUACACCGGCUAGAAACCAGUAGAACCGGUCCAACCGGCUACUGUUCAGGUCCUUCCCGAACCAACUCUUGGCCGAGAAAUCAUCAGCUAGCGUAUCAACCGCUGUGAUCAGUAGAUUAUUAAGGAAGUUAGCUGCUCCCAACACGCUUAGGUAAAUCGCUAUACCUAAGCUUCUCAUGGAAUCAGGGACUUGGUCGUAGAAGUACUCUUGAAGUCCAACGAGUGUGAACGCGUCCGCAACGCCAAUGACUAUGAACUGAGGAGCUAGCCAUAUCACACUCAUUGGUUCGUUGUUUUCACUACGGUCCAGUCGUUUUUUCUCAACUAGAGCUGCAAUGAUCAUUGUGGUAAGGGAGAAAAGCAUACCGGUCCCGAUUCUCUGGAGAAUAUUGAUGCCUCUUUGAUUCCGUGUGACGCGUCUCAGCAAGGGAACGAAGAUUUUAUCAUAGAUGGUGAGUGAAAUGAUCAAGGAGAGAGCAGUGAGGGAGAACAUGGAAGCGGGAGGGACUGUGAAGCUGUUGUUACCCGUGAUGUGUCUGUCCAUGAUGGUUGCUUGUUUGAUGAAGAAAGUAUUAGUUUGUGUAGCACAAAUGCCAAAGACUAAUGUAGAGAGCCAUAUGGGUAUCACGUUGAUGAUCAGCUUCGCUUCCUCUACUUUUGUUAACGUUACAAGUCUCCAUGGACUCUGUUUCUGAAGAUCUAGAGGAGUGUUAUCUUCGAUUAUUGCUGCCUUGUCAAGAAAUCUGCAAGAAACAAAUAACCGCAUUGUUAUAACGGAUCUGAGAAAGACAUACAGAUGAUAAAAAACAUGAUAAAUAAAAAUACAAAAAUUUAACAUGGUUCACUAAAUUGGCUACGUCUUUCGAACCGAUUUAAAGCAUAUCAACACACCCCAGAAUCAGUUUAGAAUGCACAAAAAAUCAGAAAUUAACAAACAUAGACAUUUUUGAGUUCGUUUCUACUCACUUAAGAUGCUUUGUGUGGGAGAGAAGCCGUCCAGUAGUAAACUCUGCCUUGGAAACUUCAUGAAGCAGAGAAGGAUCUGAAGGAUAAGGUAGGUUUCUUUUGGCAAUGGCCGCGACUAUCACCUGUAACAUAGGGGUCAAAGGGCUACCAGAAGGUGUCCGGUAACGAUAAAAUGGUUUUCCAAUGAGGAAGAUGAGAAGUGAAAUAGCCAUGAUUGUAGUGAAUAUGAUGCCGGCAACACCCCAACCAACCCGGUCUUCGAUAUAGACAAGGACAGUCACAGACGUUAGGAUACC